UGGGGAAUUUUGGACAAUGGGCGAAAGCCUGAUCCAGCAAUGCCGCGUGUGUGAAGAAGGCCUUCGGGUUGUAAAGCACUUUUGUCCGGAAAGAAAUCCUUGGCUCUAAUACAGUCGGGGGAUGACGGUACCGGAAGAAUAAGCACCGGCUAACUACGUGCCAGCAGCCGCGGUAAUACGUAGGGUGCAAGCGUUAAUCGGAAUUACUGGGCGUAAAGCGUGCGCAGGCGGUUUUGCUAAGACCGAUGUGAAAUCCCCGGGCUCAACCUGGGAACUGCAUUGGUGACUGGCAGGCUAGAGUAUGGCAGAGGGGGGUUAGAAUUCCACGUGUAGCAGUGAAAUGCGUAGAGAUGUGGAGGAAUACCGAUGGCGAAGGCAGCCCCCUGGGCCAAUACUGACGCUCAUGCACGAAAGCGUGGGGAGCAAACAGGAUUAGAUACCCUGGUAGUCCACGCCCUAAACGAUGUCAACUAGUUGUUGGGGAUUCAUUUCCUAGUACGUAGCUAACGCGUGAGUUGACCGCCUGGGGAGUACGGUCGCAA
rnacentral:rRNA from 1 species